GACGAACGCUGGCGGCGUGCUUAACACAUGCAAGUCGAACGGAAAGGCCCUGCUUUUGUGGGGUGCUCGAGUGGCGAACGGGUGAGUAACACGUGAGUAACCUGCCCUUGACUUUGGGAUAACUUCAGGAAACUGGGGCUAAUACCUGAUAGGAGCUCCUGCUGCAUGGUGGGGGUUGGAACGUUUCGGCGGUUGGGGAUGGACUCGCGGCUUAUCAGCUUGUUGGUGGGGUAGUGGCUUACCAAGGCUUUGACGGGUAGCCGGCCUGAGAGGGUGACCGGCCACAUUGGGACUGAGAUACGGCCCAGACUCCUACGGGAGGCAGCAGUGGGGAAUAUUGCACAAUGGGCGGAAGCCUGAUGCAGCAACGCCGCGUGCGGGAUGAAGGCCUUCGGGUUGUAAACCGCUUUCGCCUGUGACGAAGCGUGAGUGACGGUAAUGGGUAAAGAAGCACCGGCUAACUACGUG
rnacentral:rRNA from 1 species